rnacentral:rRNA from 1 species
UACGAAGGGGGCGAGCGUUGUUCGGAAUUACUGGGCGUAAAGGGCGCGCAGGCGGCUCUGAAAGUCAGAUGUGAAAGCCCCGGGCUUAACCUGGGAAUUGCAUUUGAUACUCUGGAGCUUGAGUGUGGGAGAGGAGAGUGGAAUUCCCAGUGUAGAGGUGAAAUUCGUAGAUAUUGGGAAGAACACCGGUGGCGAAGGCGGCUCUCUGGACCACAACUGACGCUGAGGCGUGAAAGCGUGGGGAGCAAACAGG